rnacentral:rRNA from 1 species
UACAGAGGGGGCAAGCGUUAUUCGGAAUUAUUGGGCGUAAAGGGCGCGUAGGCGGCUAUGCAAGUGACGGGUGAAAUCCCUCGGCUUAACCGAGGAACUGCCUGUCAGACUGUGUGGCUUGAGACCGGGAGAGGUGAGUGGAAUUCCCAGUGUAGCGGUGAAAUGCGUAGAUAUUGGGAGGAACACCAGUGGCGAAGGCGGCUCACUGGACCGGAACUGACGCUGAGGCGCGAAAGCGUGGGUAGCAAACAGG